GAGCGGCGGACGGGUGAGUAACACGUGGGUAACCUGCCCAAGAGACUGGGAUAACACCUGGAAACAGAUGCUAAUACCGGACAACAACACUAGACGCAUGUCUAGAGUUUGAAAGAUGGUUCUGCUAUCACUCUUGGAUGGACCUGCGGUGCAUUAGCUAGUUAGUAAGGUAACGGCUUACCAAGGCAAUGAUGCAUAGCCGAGUUGAGAGACUGAUCGGCCACAUUGGGACUGAGACACGGCCCAAACUCCUACGGGAGGCAGCAGUAGGGAAUCUUCCACAAUGGACGAAAGUCUGAUGGAGCAACGCCGCGUGAGUGAAGAAGGGUUUCGGCUCGUAAAGCUCUGUUGGUAGUGAAGAAAGAUAGAGGUAGUAACUGGCCUUUAUUUGACGGUAAUUACUUAGAAAGUCACGGCUAACUACGUGCCAGCAGCCGCGGUAAUACGUAGGUGGCAAGCGUUGUCCGGAUUUAUUGGGCGUAAAGCGAGUGCAAGCGGUUCAAUAAGUCUGAUGUGAAAGCCUUCGGCUCAACCGGAGAAUUGCAUCAGAAACUGUUGAACUUGAGUGCAUAAGAGGAGAGUGGAACUCCAUGUGUAGCGGUGGAAUGCGUAGAUAUAUGGAAGAACACCA
rnacentral:rRNA from 1 species